UAGGGAAUCUUCCGCAAUGGGCGAAAGCCUGACGGAGCAACGCCGCGUGAGUGAUGAAGGUAUUCGUAUUGUAAAACUUUGUUAUUAGGGAAGAACACACGUGUAAGUAACUAUCCACGACUUGACGGUACCUAAUCAGAAAGCCACGGCUAACUACGUGCCAGCAGCCGCGGUAAUACGUAGGUGGCAAGCGCUAUCCGGAAUUAUUGGGCGUAAAGCGCGCGUAGGCGGUUUUUUAAGUCUGAUGUGAAAGCCCGCGGCUCAACCGUGGAGGGUCAGUGGAAACUGGAAAACUUGAGUGCAUGAGAGGAAAGUGGAAUUCCAUGUGUGGCGGUGAAAUGCGCAGAGAUAUGAAGGAACACCAGUGGCGAGGGCGACAUUCUGGUCUAUAACUGACGCUGAUAUGCGAAAGCGUGGGGACCAAACAGG
rnacentral:rRNA from 1 species